rnacentral:rRNA from 1 species
UACGUAGGGUGCGAGCGUUAAUCGGAAUUACUGGGCGUAAAGGAUGCGCAGGUGGCCGCGCAAGUCGAGUGUGAAAGCCCCGGGCUUAACUUGGGAAUUGCGCUCGAAACUACGUGGCUCGAGUGUGGCAGAGGAAGGUGGAAUUCCACGUGUAGCGGUGAAAUGCGUAGAGAUGUGGAGGAACACCGAUGGCGAAGGCAGCCUUCUGGGCCAACACUGACACUCAUGCACGAAAGCGUGGGGAGCAAACAGG